GCCGUCCACCGUACGGUCGGCAGGCGAUCCGCGUCGGUCGCGCGAGGUGGGAUGGUUCCCCAGAAGCCGGCUGUUGUGCUGCCUCCCCCUCCGGGGAAGCAGGCCCUUAGAUGUAAGCCCUCCCCCCGGCGCCCCCCCAACUGGGCGCAGGAGGACAACAAAGCACCCCCCGCGUUCCACCGAGCCUCCGCCGGUCGCGUGGCCCGCGGGGACGUGCGAUGCUCUCGGACCCAGCGAACGCCGUGGGCGAGGACUCACGUCCCAGUCCCGAUAGAAGCUCCGAUAUAAUGCUGACGGCCGCUCCCGAC
rnacentral:misc_RNA from 1 species